CAAGUAGCGCGAGCGAACGAUGAAAAGGAACCCUGCUAGGGUAGUCAAAAGAACCUGAAACCACACGCUUACAAGCUGUCGGAGCACUAUACCUUCGGGGAUGUGUGACGGCGUGCCUUUUGCAUAAUGACCCGGCGAGUUACCGUCGUUGGCUUGGUUAAGGCCCUCAGGGCCGAAGCCGUAGGGAAACCGAGUCUGAACAGGGCGACAUUGUCAGAGGCGGUAGACGCGAAACCUGGUGAUCUACCCAUGGGCAGGUUGAAGCGCGGGUAAGACCGCGUGGAGGACCGAACCCACCUGGGUUUAAAACCGGGGGGAUGACCUG
rnacentral:rRNA from 1 species